rnacentral:rRNA from 1 species
UACGGAGGAUGCGAGCGUUAUCCGGAUUUAUUGGGUUUAAAGGGUGCGUAGGCGGGAUGCCAAGUCAGCGGUAAAAAUGCGGUGCUCAACGCCGUCGAGCCGUUGAAACUGGCGUUCUUGAGUGGGCGAGAAGUAUGCGGAAUGCGUGGUGUAGCGGUGAAAUGCAUAGAUAUCACGCAGAACUCCGACUGCGAAGGCAGCAUACCGGCGCCCUACUGACGCUGAGGCACGAAAGCGUGGGUAUCGAACGGG